GACAGAGGGUGCGAGCGUUAAUCGGAAUUACUGGGCGUAAAGCGUGCGUAGACGGUUUCGUAAGUCGGGUGUGAAAUCCCCGGGCUCAACCUGGGAAUUGCAUUCGAAACUGCGAGGCUAGGGUACGGAAGAGGGAAGCGGAAUUUCUGGUGUAGCGGUGAAAUGCGUAGAUAUCAGAAGGAACAUCAGUGGCGAAAGCGGCUUCCUGGUCCAGUACCGACGUUCAGGCACGAAAGCGUGGGGAGCAAACAGG
rnacentral:rRNA from 1 species